AUUGAACGCUGUCGGCAGGCUUAACACAUGCAAGUCGAACGAGUGGCGGACGGGUGAGUAAUUCUUGGGAAUCUCGCUUAUGGAGGGGGAUAACUACGGGACACUUUAGCUAAUACCGCGUACCAUCGGAUGAGCCCACGUGGGAUUAGGUAGUUGGUGAGGUAAAGGCUCACCAAGCCGACGAUCUCUAGCUGGUGUGAGAGGAUGACCAGCCACAUGGGGACUGAGACAAGGCCCAGACUCCUACGGGAGGCAGCAGUGGGGAAUAUUGCGCAAUGGGGGCAACCUGACGCAGCCAUGCCGCGUGAAUGAAGAAGGCCUUAGGGUUGUAAAGUUCUUUCGGUAGCGAGGCGUUAACUACAGAAGAAGCACCGGCUAACUCCGUGCCAGCCGCCGCGGUAAUAC
rnacentral:rRNA from 1 species